rnacentral:antisense_RNA from 1 species
CACUCCGCAGAGGCCCGAGCGGGCUUGCCAGGGAACCGGUUCUCCGGGUUUGGCCGGCCACAACAACUGGAUUCUCUUUUCUGAUUUUUGCUGCAGCUUCUGCUUUGUAAUCAUACGGACAGUUGUGCUUGUCAGAGUAACAGUGAAGUCCACAAAACAAAUUUCCACAUCGGCAGUCAAACCCUGUAAGACCAACUUUCUUUCUGCACAUGAAACAUCUGUUUUUCUUUGGUUUGGGCAAUUCAGGAGCUUUUUCUUCACUCUGAGAAGUACUGGGCUGAGAAACUGAUGGACUGGGCUGAGUGACAACUGGCUCUGACAUCUCUGUUUUUGGGGUAUUUUGUCCUCUGUUGAAAUGCUCAUUUCUGUCAUUUGCUGAGUUACAGGCAAGGCAGCCACAGUCACAUUUCUUGAUUUUUCAGAUGUGCUGCCAGCAGCACCUUCACAGUUGUUUAAGCUAGUGUCUGCUCUCUGUACAGAUGCAGAAUCUGAGGUUGGAACCACUAGCUGUCCCCAUUGGGCUCAUUCUGCCACUAUUCUGCUG